UACGGAGGGUGCGAGCGUUUAUCCGGAUUUACUGGGUUUAAAGGGUGUGUAGGCGGAUUAUUAAGUCAGUGGUGAAAUCCCGGGGCUCAACCCCGGAACUGCCAUUGAUACUAUUAGUCUUGAAUACUGUGGAGGUGAGCGGAAUGUGUCAUGUAGCGGUGAAAUGCUUAGAGAUGACACAGAACACCGAUUGCGAAGGCAGCUCACUACGCAGUUAUUGACGCUGAGGCACGAAAGCGUGGGGAGCAAACAGG
rnacentral:rRNA from 1 species